GGGGGUGGAGGUGGCCACGGCAGCAGCAGAGGAUUUGGUGGAGGACAGGGAGCGUUAUGCCCAGAGAUGCGGGAACCGGUCUGCGACCAUGAGAACAAAACCAGUGUGCUGAGAUCAGUGGGAUGGUGACCCGAGAGAGCCUGCUUGUGAGACCGCAUGGUGAAGUCAGUACCCGGCCUACACUGUUUUCCUUCAGCUCUCCCGUCAGAUAAGAAAAAUAAACCCCUGUGCGUCUUGACCUGA